rnacentral:rRNA from 1 species
CAGGAUGAACGCUAGCGAUAGGCCUAACACAUGCAAGUCGAGGGGCAGCACAUGAGUAGCAAUACGAUGGUGGCGACCGGCGCACGGGUGAGUAACACGUAUGCAACCUACCUCUAACAGGGGGAUAACCCGUUGAAAGACGGACUAAUACCCCAUAAUACAGGGGCUCCGCAUGGAGAUAUUUGUUAAAGAUUUUAUCGGUUAGAGAUGGGCAUGCGUUCCAUUAGCUAGUUGGUGAGGUAACGGCUCACCAAGGCGACGAUGGAUAGGGGAACUGAGAGGUUUAUCCCCCACACUGGAACUGAGACACGGUCCAGACUCCUACGGGAGGCAGCAGUGAGGAAUAUUGGUCAAUGGAGGCAACUCUGAACCAGCCAAGUCGCGUGAAGGAUGAAGGUCUUAUGGAUUGUAAACUUCUUUUGCAGGGGAAUAAAUAGCGGUACGUGUACCGUUUUGCAUGUACCCUGCGAAUAAGGAUCGGCUAACUCCGUGCCAGCAGCUGC